GGGAAAUGUUAUCCUGUAGCCCCUCUACCAGAGCAGUCUUCCUUUCUCUGUUGUCCUCGCCACUCGCUAUCAGCCCUGACCCUCUCAUUUCCCAUUAGCUCAUGCCCUACCUCCCUGCGAGCUGCCCUAAGGGGCAGUAAACCUUCACCAUCAUGUGGACUUAUAUGUAACCUGACUGGUAAUUGGUUCCCAUUCUCCACUCAGCACUAUUCCUGGAUUGAGCUGAAGUUGUGCGGGAGAAGCGUAGCAUGGAAGGGAGACAGAGUAUCGGAGGAGAGAAAAACAGCACCAACUCCAUCUUGGUAAGUAGGGGUGUGAGGGGUCGGUUCUGUGUCCUGAGUAUUACCCAUUUCAGUCUCAGAAUCAGUCGUUAAAGUAGGUGUAAACUAACUGGGAGAGGCCUGGAGGUACUGUAUUGCCCUAAAGUCUCAGCCAAGCACAUGAUUAAAUGUCUGCCCCACAUUGUCACUGCAGUGUCUCAGGUCCCUUCUGUGGCAUGGGUUCAGGCCCUAGCCUAAGAACUUCCACAUGCCAUUAGGGUGGCCAAAAAAUAAUGAUAAUAAUAAAAUAAAAGUCUACCCCUUGAUAAUUAAGCAAAAAUGAACAGCCAGCUCCCAGGUGACACUAAUCUUGGAAUUGUGAGCCAGGCCCUAGGGACGAACCUUAUGUAAAACUUCUUUGGACUCUAUUCCCAUGCUUUGUCAGGGCUUUUCUAUAAUUUUUAUAAAAUUCAUUAUAGAUCUCCUUCCUCUCCCAAAUAAUACGCUUUAUGUUAGCUGUUAAUUUCUUUAUCUAGGGAUAAUUUUUAAAGUGUCAUCUAUCUUUAGUUUUCUGAAAUGUUCCCAUCAAGUGUCUAGAUGUGACUGAGUGGUUUUGUUUGUUUUUCCAUUCAUUGUAAGCAGCAUUCAUGGGCUCCUUUCAUUGGAGGCAUCAUGUCUCAUUAUUGAUGAGAUAUUUUCUUCUGCUAUUUUUUAAAAUAUUUCCUCUCCUCUGUUCCCUCAUUCUUUCCUUCUGGUACUCCUUUUCAUUUUUCUUCAAAUGUUUGGUAAUUCUUGGCUGUCUUAUGUUUGCUUGUAUAUCUGAGUGCUUAUCCAUUCAUUGUUUCUGCUCCUUGUGGUCAUAGGGGAGAGGCAGAACAUGCUCCCAGACUGAGAGGACCCGUAGCUCACCUUCUUCUUUCCAGGGUACAUAUGCCUCUUGGUUACUCCCCUGCUCGUAAUCCCCAGGUUGUCCCAUUGGAAUUGCCGUUGCUGUUUGCUGCGUGGCAGAGAUGUAAGGAAGAGAAGGGGACCUACCUGAUUGUUCCUACUGCUAUAGCACUUCCCAGAUCACAAAUGUAGGUUUGGGACUGCUUCCUGCCCCCAUUUCCACUUUACCCAAGCUUGGAGCAGAACUGAAACUUGUCUCACAAUUUACAGGUGCUCUCUUCAUUAAAGUUUGGCAGUGGGUCCCUCAUUCAGUGUUAUCCCAGUCCUACUUCCCGUCCUUCAGCAGUUCCGGCAGAAUUUUUGAUCUGUUUAGAGCAACUCAUCUUGUAAGUCAGUAUGAUCUUCAGAUAUCUAUAUGUCUCUAUCUAUCUAAAUAGCUCUCUCUCUUUCCUUUACGUUAGUUUCAGGGUUUAGAUCAGGAGGGGAAGGCUGGAUGAACAUGUAUUUGUUUACAUUGCCGUUUUGAUCCAAUACCUCUGUAGAAGUGUUCAGACAUUUUUAAGAGACAUACUGCUUUUCAAGCAAAAUCUCAUGUCAAGGAUCACUUGACCUAGGUGAAGCAAAGGAAGCAGCCCUGCAUGUGAACUCGUUGGUCUCCCUUUGGUUCUUCAUUGCAGCUCCUGAGACCCUCCAUGGAUCUUAGAACUCUGCAGAGCAGGUUAAAAACCACUGGCAAGAUGUGUAGUCCAGGAAUGUCCGGCCCAUAAUAAGGUCUUAAUAAAUACUAGCAAUCAUCAUGGAUAAAGAAGAUGUGGUGUGUGUAUGUAUAAACAAUGGAGUACUAUUUGGCCAUAAAAAGGGGUGAGAUUUUGCUACUUGCAACAACAUAGAUGGACCUGAAGGAUCUUAUGCUUAGUGAAGUAAGUCCCAUUAUGGCCCAGUGGAAAUGAAUCUGACAAGCAUCCAUGAGGACGCAGGUUUGAUCCCUGGCCUCACUCAGUGGGUUAAGGAUCCGGUGUUGCUGUGAGCUGUGGUGUAGGCUGCAGAUGAGGCUUGGAUCCCACAUUGCUGUGGCUGUGGUGUAGGCUAGGGGCUACAGCUCCCAUUCAACCCCUAGCCUGGGAACCUCCAUGAGCUACAAGUGUGGCCUUAAAAAAAAAAAAAAAAAAAAAAAAGGCUAAGUCAGAAAGACAAAAACUGUAUGUUAUCACUUUUAUGUUGGAUCCAAAAAAUAAAACAAAUUAAUGAAUAUAACAAAAGGAAACAGACUCACAGAUAUAGAGAACAAACUAGUGGUUACCAGUGAGAAGAACGAUGGGGGCAAGGAUAAGAUAGAGGUAGAAGAUUAAGAACUACAAACUACUUUGUAUAAAAGAAGCUACAGGAUACAUUAUACAGCACAGGGAAUAUAGCCAGUAUAACAUAACUGUAAAUGGAGUAUAACCUUUAAAAAUCGUGAAUACUGUACACCUGAAACUUAUAUAAUAUUGUAAAUCAACUUUAUCUCCGUUAAAAAGUCCCCAAUUGAUAGACCCAAAAAAAGUAGCUGUCCUUAUUAUUACUAUUAAAAAUAUUGCCUCUCUGCUAUCUCUAGUCCAAGGUCUUCCCUAGGUCCUGAUACCAUUCAUUCUGACAUUCCUGUCUUGGAAAGAAGGGGGAAAAAAAUUUAGAGAAUCAGUAGCAAUUGAGAACCUAGUAAAUAUUCCCAAGGACACUCCUGGGCCCUCACUUGUUAACCUGGCUUAAUCCUUACAAUGACCCGAUAAGGCCAGUGUUUGAUCUCUAAGAUAUGAUGAAGAAAUAGAGGCUCAGACAGACCUAGCAGGGGUGUGCACAAAUUCAAAUGAGUUUUUAAAAAAUGUCCAGUUAUUUUAUUUUCUGAAAUUUAAUUAAAACUAACUCCUAGCAUGAUUCCACUGGAAUGACAGGAAAUGACAUCUCAGCCAUUCCAGGGCUUCCCUCACAGGAUUUGACUCAAGAUUCUGGGUCUUGCCAGAGCGCUAACACAUAGAGCAGGCCUUUCUGGUCCUCUCUUCCCUCUGCAUAAGGAUCUAAGGGUUGCCCAUUUUCUGUGCUAGUGAGUUUCCUCUGGAUUGAGCCACCCUGUGGCUUCUCUGUGACCUGCAAUGUCAAAGAUCUCUGAGGGGUUGGGUUAUCUGAAGGUACACCUCCCCACACGGCCAUCCUCUCUAAGCACUAGCUUCCUCCUCUGACCACUGCACCGAGGCCACUCAGCUCACAGGAAGCCUCUCACCCCCAGGCCCCCUUUUUUAGUGCAGGUCUGUUUGUCUCUUCCUUCUUACUGCCCUCAGAAAGUCUCCCUUUCUCUCCUGAGAACAUACCAAAGAAUACAGCAGUUUUUAAACUUUAACAAGAUAAAAACUCCAUGGAAAUGUCUGCUUUCCUUGAGGCAAGAACACACGACUGGUCUUCUGCCGAGAAAGGGAGUGAUGAGCACAGGGUAUGGAGAAUACGAAAAGUUGAUUUUCAGUAAGUUUUCCUACCACAAAAGUUAAGUCACCGAUUGAUCCAAAGCCCCUUAGUCCUAAGUAAGAGGCAGACCUACACCGCCCAACUGGGUGAAGCAUGGGAGGACAAGCUCCGGUCACUGUGGGGCAGGUGGUCCUGGGUAUUGGGAAGCAGCAGCUUCAGACUCUAGGUCAGAGCAGCCCUGUGACCACUUUGAUGGAGACUGCAAGCGGAUGAGAUCCAGGGGCUUGAGUUCCCUGGAUCUCAUCUGUUUGCAUUCUGAACCCAGACCUCUCACACGGGGACAUUCCAUCAUCUUACAUUAGACAAACACAAUGUGUCCCAAGGACAGAAUCUAAAUUAUUCUAAUCUUGGAAUUCCCCGUGUGUAUGUUUAUGUCAAACUGUGCUCGCCAGAAACAGAAUGACAACACUGUUGAAGAGUAUUUAAAUGGAACAAACCCAGGCACCCUCUCAGAUUUUAAUACAUGCCUUAAGGGGGAAUUAAAAUGAAAUGACUUUGUACACAUAAAUGUGCUUUCAGAUUUUUGAAUUAUAUCUCUUUGAACAGUAGUUUCAUAUUUUCAGUCGGAAGACUUCUUUUUUUUUUUUUAUUUAUAUUUUGCUUUUUUUUUUAGGGCUGUACCCUCAGCACAUGGAAGUUCCCAGGCUAGGGGUCACAUCAGAGCUACAGCUGCUGGCCUACGCCACAGCCACAGCAACAUGGGAUCCAAGCCAUGUCUGCAACCUAUGCCACAGCUCACGGCAAUGCCAGAUCCUUAACCCACUGAGCGAGGUCAGGGUUAGAACCCACAACCCCAUGGUUCCUAGUUGGAUUCGCCUCUGCUGCGCCACGACGGGAACUCUGGGAGACUUCUUUUUAUCCUUUUUCAAACAACCAAGAAUUUCGUUUUGUUCUAAAUUAAUUUACCUGCAGUGCUAAUGAGAAUUUUUGUUAUUACUCAGAAAGAAAAUUUUAAAUGGGCAAGGAGUUAAGUCGCAGAGAAAACGGAGCCACUUAAUUUUGGAUCUAUCUUUAUUUUUUAUGUUUCAGUAGUAUUUUUAUAUUGACCUCAGCUGUCAAAAACACAUUAAAAAUAAAUCAGGGAUGUGGGAGGUAGUGUAAUUCCUCUGAACAGCCAAAAUAGUGGUUAUAAUAUUUAUGUUUUCAUAAGUGAGACCUUGGAGCCAUAGUUUCUGUGUUUACCCCAGUUCACUUUUACCUUACUAAACAUUUUAGAUGUAUCAUAAAUUAUGAAAAAAAAAAUUCAAGAAAACACAAGUUCAAUGAGAAACUCUCCUGAAGAUCCACCACCCACUUACCACUGUUAACCUGUUUAACAUUUUCAUAGGUUUCUUUUGAGGUGUUUUCCUAUACAUAUGUUUCAAUUCCCCGCUAUUCUUACUCUUAAUUUUUUUUUAUAGUUACUCUUUUUUUACUUUUACUUAUUAUUAUAAAAUAAAUAUUUCCCCCAUUUAAAAAUUAGACUCUCAAGAGUUCCUGUUGUGGCUCAGCAGUUAACGAAUCUGACUAGCAUCCAUGAAGACACAGGUUUGAUCCCUGGCCUCACUCAGUGGGUUAAGGAUCUGGUGUUGCCAUGAGCUGUGGGGUAGGUGACAGAUGCAGCUCGGAUCUGGCGUUGCUGUGGCUGUGGUAUAGGCGGUGGCCACAGCUCUGAUUAGCUUCCAUAUGCUGUGGGUGUGGCCCUAAAAA
rnacentral:lncRNA from 1 species